rnacentral:rRNA from 1 species
UUAGCGGCGGACGGGUGAGUAACACGUGGGUAAUCUGCCUUAUACAGGGGGAUAACAGUUAGAAAUGACUGCUAAUACCGCAUAAGCGCACGGGGACGCAUGUUUCUGUGUGAAAAACUCCGGUAGUAUAAGAUGAGCCCGCGUCUGAUUAGCUGGUUGGUGGGGUAACGGCCUACCAAGGCGACGAUCAGUAGCCGGCCUGAGAGGGUGAACGGCCACAUUGGGACUGAGACACGGCCCAAACUCCUACGGAAGGCAGCAG